UGGGGUAUGGUGUAAUCGGCAACACAUCGGUUUCUGGUACCGACAUUCUAGGUUCGAGUCCUGGUACCCCAG
rnacentral:tRNA from 2 species